CGGAUAUGACCAACUGUCGCAUGGUGGUUGGUGGAAAGCUUUUGCGGUGUGGGAUGGGCCCGCGGCCUAUCAGCUUGUUGGUGGGGUAAUGGCCUACCAAGCCGACGAUCCAUAGCUGGUUUGAGAGGAUGAUCAGCCACACUGGGACUGAGACACGGCCCAGACUCCUACGGGAGGCAGCAGUGGGGAAUAUUGCGCAAUGGGCGAAAGCCUGACGCAGCGACGCCGCGUGGGGGAUGACGGCCUUCGGGUUGUAAACCUCUUUCAGCAGGGACGAAGCGAAAGUGACGGUACCUGCAGAAGAAGCACCGGCCAACUACGUGCCAGCAGCCGCGGUAAUACGUAGGGUGCAAGCGUUGUCCGGAAUUAUUGGGCGUAAAGAGCUCGUAGGCGGUUCGUCGCGUCGGCUGUGAAAACCUGAGGCUCAACCUCAGGCCUGCAGUCGAUACGGGCGGACUUGAGUACUGCAGGGGAGACUGGAAUUCCUGGUGUAGCGGUGAAAUGCGCAGAUAUCAGGAGGAACACCGGUGGCGAAGGCGGGUCUCUGGGCAGUAACUGACGCUGAGGAGCGAAAGCGUGGGGAGCGAACAGGAUUAGAUACCCUGGUAGUCCACGCCGUAAACGAUGUCAACUAGCCGUUGGGUUCCUUGAGAACUUAGUGGCGCAGCUAACGCAUUAAGUUAUCCGCCUGGGGAGUACGGCCGCAAGGCUAAAACUCAAAGGAAUUGACGGGGCCCCGCACAAGCGGCGGAGCAUGCGGAUUAAUUCGAUGCAACGCGUAGAACCUUACCUGGGUUUGACAUGGAUCGGGAGUGCUCAGAGAUGGGUGUGCCUCUUUUGGGGUCGGUUCACA
rnacentral:rRNA from 1 species